rnacentral:ncRNA from 1 species
AAAUUGAAGAGUUUGAUCAUGGCUCAGAUUGAACGCUGGCGGCAGGCCUAACACAUGCAAGUCGAGCGGAAACGGCAGUAUUGAAGCUUCGGUGGAUUUACUGGACGUCGAGCGGCGGACGGGUGAGUAACGGCUGGGAACCUGCCCUGACGAGGGGGAUAACCGUUGGAAACGACGGCUAAUACCGCAUAAUGUCUACGGACCAAAGGUGGCCUCUGCAUGUAAGCUAUCGCGUUGGGAUGGGCCCAGUUAGGAUUAGCUAGUUGGUAAGGUAAUGGCUUACCAAGGCGACGAUCCUUAGCUGGUUUGAGAGGAUGAUCAGCCACACUGGGACUGAGACACGGCCCAGACUCCUACGGGAGGCAGCAGUGGGGAAUAUUGCACAAUGGGGGAGACCCUGAUGCAGCCAUGCCGCGUG